UCCUCCGUGGCGCAAUUGGCUAGCGCGUCUGACUGUUAUUACGAUGGCAAAUCAGGAGGUUGGAAGUUCGAGCCUUCCCGGGGGAG
rfam:Stagonospora sp. SRC1lsM3a unplaced genomic scaffold IQ06scaffold_18, whole genome shotgun sequence.